AGAAUCAACGCUGGCGGCGUGCCUAACACAUGCAAGUCGAACGCGAAAGCCCCCGCAAGGGGGCAAGUAGAGUGGCAAACGGGUGAGUAACGCGUGGGUGAUCUGCCUCUGAGUGGGGGAUAACCUUCCGAAAGGAGGGCUAAUACCGCAUGACAUUGCGCCCUUAGAAGGUGCGUAUCAAAGCUAGGAACCGCAAGGUCUGGCGCUUGGAGAGGAGCCCGCGUCCGAUUAGCUAGGUUGGUGAGGUAAUGGCUCACCGAAGGCGACGAUCGGUA
rnacentral:rRNA from 1 species